GCCCUUUUUCCUGCCUCUCGCCCCGCUGUUGUUUGUGAGACUGUCUUCGGGGGCCUUGGGGGGGUCUCCGCCGGCAGCGGGGGUCUGCCGAAGCCGAGGAGCGGAGAAAAGCCAAGUAUUAAUAGAGAAUCAGAAUUCAGAACUGAGGCUCCUCAUUCCAGGAGUUUGGGAAUUUGACUGCUCGCUAUGAUGUGCACUGACCUCCUGGGGGUUGCGGAACACGGUGGGUGUCAGCCAUGCGGCCCUGGCAGUGGACAGCAGUGGAGGCACUACUGGCCCCUCGACGAGAACAGGACUAACGCUGGUGUGCUACCUACGAAUACUCAAUUCCGAGUCCCUGAAGCAUGAAGACCAUGUUCUAAUCAUCUUUGUACUCCUACAUCUGUUUAGAGCUUGAGGGUAUAAUGAGUGUUUGUUAACUUAUUUAUCUGCCCAAGAUUUCAGGAAAUUGAUCAUUGUCUCACAAAUAGAAAGAGGUAAAGGCUGGUCAACCUUGAAGCUCUGAAAGGUCAGAGCCAACCACUCCCUAUCUAAUUGAGACACAGGUAACUGAGGCAACU